GGCUCGGAUGAAUGCAUACUCAAUAUUUUGGAAGCCUGUGCCAUUGAUGUCUUGCAAAAUGUGAACAAGCAUUACGCUUUGAUAUACUGCUUUGAAUUUCUAGCCAUUGAAGGAAGGCAAAAAGACUG